UACGUAGGUGGCUAGCGUUAUCCGGAUUCACUGGGCGUAAAGCGCGUGCAGGCGGUUCCGUAAGACGAGCGUGAAAGCUCCUGGCUUUAAUGGGAGAGGUCGUUCGAUACUGCGGGACUUGAGGUUGGGAGAGGGACGUGGAAUUCCCGGUGUAGUGGUGGAAUGCGUAGAGAUCGGGAGGAACACCAGUGGCGAAGGCGGCGUCCUGGCCCACACCUGACGCUGAGACGCGAAAGCGUUGGUAGCGAACGGG
rnacentral:rRNA from 1 species